GUGAAUCAUCGAAUCUUUGAACGCAAAUUGCACUCCCUGGUAUUCCGGAGAGUAUGCCUAUUUGAGGGUCAUUUGAAAUAAUAUAAAUUCCUAGAUUUCUCGGAAUUUAAUAUGGGUUGUCUAUUUUUUGUGGUCGCUUUAAAUUCAAGACAAGAUCAUUUUCUUGGGUUGCGUGAUUUUUUACGUUAAUUAGUUAUUUAAUUAGGAUUUUCCGGGUGUGUUAUGAAUUUUGCAAGAGAUCAAAUAUUGUAUUG
rnacentral:misc_RNA from 1 species